GUUGUUGGUUGCCAAGUUAGGAGAUUGGACUCGCCGAUGGGAAGCUGAUCAGCAUCAUAGUUUCAUACUCAUGCAGAUCAAAGUCUUUUACGACAGGAAGUUGACGACGGCCCAGCACUUUGUUGGACUCACUGAGCGCCACGCAUCGGUCGCUACUUCUGCUUCAAAAUCAAAAAGGGCAAGCGGGUUUUGUAUUUCAAGCAUGGAGGACGAGGAAUAUAAUAAGAAAAGGAAGCAGCAGAAGCAAGGUAAGAAAGCUGUUGUUGUUGAGAGGCCACGACGAGUGGCCAGAGAACGACCGCAUUCACCAACAGAGAAACAAGAAGAAGAUGACAUAGAAGAUAUUGUUAAGUGGAGUUUCAGCGGGGACGAAACCCAGAAAAUUAGGGAAUGUUUGUUGGAGUGGUACGACCUGAACAAGAGGGACCUGCCCUGGCGCUCAAAGAAAUCAGAUUCAUCAUCACCAUCACAACCACAGGAAGAAAGGGCUUAUGGGGUUUGGGUUUCGGAAGUAAUGCUUCAACAGACGAGGGUUCAGACUGUCAUUCAAUACUACAACCGUUGGAUGCACAAAUGGCCAACCCUUCACCUUCUCUCUCAGGCUUCUCUUGAGGAGGUGAAUGAAAUGUGGGCUGGUUUGGGGUACUACCGCCGUGCACGUUUUCUGUUGGAGGGAGCAAAGAUGGUUGUUGCGGGAGGAGGUAGAUUUCCUAAAACAGUUUCUGAACUGCGAAAGAUUCGAGGAAUUGGAGACUAUACUGCUGGGGCUAUUGCUUCAAUAGCAUUUGGGGAGGUAGUGCCGGUGGUUGAUGGGAACGUGAUAAGGGUGAUUACUAGACUAAGGGCUAUUUCUGCAAAUCCAAAAGACUUGGUGACUGUCAAGAAAAUAUGGAAACUAGCAGCUCAACUAGUCGAUCCUAUCCGGCCUGGAGACUUAAAUCAGGCUCUCAUGGAACUUGGUGCAACCGUAUGCACCCCAUUGAACCCAAGCUGCUCUUCAUGUCCUGCAUCCGGACACUGCCAUGCACUGUCAGUCUCUGGACACGAUAGUUUGGUACAGGUGACAGAUUUCCCUGCUAAGGGAGUGAAGGUCAAACAGAGACAUGAUUUUUCCGCCGUAUGUGUGGUGGAACUACUAGGAGGUCAAAAAACAUUGGAGGGAAACCAAAGUGACAGUAGAUUUCUUCUUGUAAAAAGGCCGGAUGAAGGUCUGCUUGCUGGCCUCUGGGAGUUCCCGUCUGUCUUGCUGGAUGGAGAUGCUGGUUUGGCAACUAGAAGAGAAGCAAUUGACCACUUUCUGGAAAAGAAGUUUGGAAUUGAUUCUAAAAAGACCGGCAACAUAGUUGUCAGGAAAGAUGUUGGAGAGUUUGUCCAUAUGUUCACUCACAUUCGUCUAAAAAUUUUUGUGGAAUUGUUGGUAGUUCGUCUAAAAGGGAGGAAAAAUGACUUAUUUGGAAAGCAAGACAAAGAAGCUAUGCAUUGGAAAUGUGUGGAUGGCGAUGCCCUUUCAAGUUUGGGAUUGACAUCUGCUGUGAGAAAGGCAUACAUCAUGGUUCAGAAAUUUAAGCAGGAAAAGUUGUCCAAUAAUUUUACCCCAUCAAGAAAGAGGAACAGAAUGACAUGAACAAAACAACAUAUUCCUGCUUGAACCUGUUCAAGUGACCUAAAUGGGGCGCUUUAUUAAACUAAUUCAACAAGAAAGGCUUCAUGAGACCUAUUCUCUACAUUUAUCUGUCACAGAAGUGCACAUUGGACAUGCAACAAUGCAGAGUAUUGAUUAUUGGUGGGUACUUCCAGCGGAAUACCAUGAUUCGUUGUUUUGUAGUUAUCAUUGGACAUGCAACAAUGCAGAUUAUUGAUGGGUACUACCCGCGGAAUACCAUGAUUCGUUGUUUGUGUUAUCAUUGUUUUGUGAUUAUGAUGAUGAUGCCAUAGGUGGACUAUGGCGUGCUUUUUCCAUAGGUGUUAUAUUUAAUGAAUUGGAAGGCAAUGAACCGUCGGACCCAGAAACAAUCCCAACAAACAGACGUGCAUAUUUAAGUUUUUAACUUGGAGGUGUACCAUAAGAUCGAUAUCAUAGGCGGUUGCUCAUGCCUUCCAAAUUCUGGAGGCAGCAUGUAUUGAA